UCAAGAGAUCUGCCUGCCUCAGCCUCUCAAAGGGCUGGGAUAACAGAUGUAAGCCACUGCAUCUGGCCUCCAAUGAGUUGUUAUGUGAAGAGAACGUGAUUAAGUUAGAGGACUCCAACCAGGCCUGAACUCUCAAGGACAGAAAUGGGUCCAACCUGGCAUGACAUCCUCUAAAUCUUUAGCUCCUGGCCUCUCAGGUGCCCCCUCCAGCUACCUCCCUCUUCCUUCUCUUCAUUCCCCAAGCCAUAGCUGGUUGGGCCAACCUCCAGACAUUAGCCUCUUUGCAAACUCCUAUUCAUCCCUCAAAGCCUCACCUUCAAUGCUCUCCUCCCCAAGAAGCUCUCUCCUCUACCUCUAGACCUUUUCCAGCCCUCUUCCCUCUUUCUGGCCCAGCCCUGACUCCUGGGAGUGUCUGUGUGCAGCUUUGACUCCCCCAGCCUGAGUGUCUCUCAAGGGCUGAGACCAGGGCCCAUGUUUCCCUAGAGUUUGUCAUCUUCCAGCAUAGUGUGGACGCAUGGGGGUCAGGCAAAGGGGGAGUUUGAUGACUCAGUACUAUUGGUGAUUUUGCAUCACUUGAAGGAGACCCUGCCUUAAAUUCAGAACUUGACUUCU
rnacentral:lncRNA from 1 species